ACUAAGAGAAAAAUCACACCUAAUUCUCUUUUACACAGACCGACCAUACCUAGAGCAAGUGACAAAGGACUUGCUGGUUGGUACUCGAGACCCAAGUUCGAAUCCUAGUUGAUUUACAUUUCUUGCUAAGUUUAUUUCUAAAUGAAAUAAACGAAGCGGGUAGCGUGCUAUCUAUCUUUCAAAAAAAAAAAAAAUCUCUUUUACACAGCAGUUUCAACCAAA
rnacentral:lncRNA from 1 species